CUUAUGAGCCUGAGAUGAUUUGAGAAACGAGAUUUCUAAAAGCCAAGGCUAAAAAGAGUUGAAGUUUGAUUUCAAAGUGAAAUGGCUUGAGAAAAGUGAUUUGUGGCUAAAAUGCCGGUUUUAUGAAUUUGAUGAUGUUGAAUGGUGGAAGUGCUGUUUUGUUUUGGGCCGGAAUGGCUGUGUAUGAUUAUGGAUAUUGGCUGGUUCUGGAUUGAACCGUGAGCCGGAAUGGCUAUGUAUGAUAUUGAUUUAUGGCUGAUUGCCGAAUGAGUUAUGGGCCGUAUGGCUGACUAUGAAUUAUGAAUUUAAGCCGGAUGGCUAAGAUGGAUGUUGAUCCAUGGCUGGGACUGAAUGAAUAUAUGCUUGAGAUACCUGGGUAGUAGCAAGGGUUGUGGUUCGUCCCACUUGCUCCAGGUCAGAGACUGUGACGCUUGGGUAGUAGCGGUAGUAGUGGUGAUUCCACUCGCUCCAGGUUGAGCUGUUAAACACCCG
rnacentral:lncRNA from 1 species